AUAAUAAACAUAUUUACAUCACCUGAAGAAGUAACUGUUGAAGAUAAUACAGGAAGUCCGGUAAAUAAACGUCAUUAUCAGUGAAUAAUGCAGAAACCGCAGGGGAAAUUAUGUUAAAACGAGUAUUAACAAAAAGGAGAUUUUGAUAAAAUGCUAUGAAGAAGGUAAAGCUAUUGCAGAGUCCGCAGAAUUAGGUGGAAUUAAUAAAAACACAGCCAAUUCUAUAAUUAGAAGGUAUAAGAAGGAUGGAUGUGAGAUUAUUAGACGAAAGCGUGGUGGAAAAGAAACUAACUUUAAAAAUAACAUUAAAAACCGCCAUAAUCAACCUGGACCGUUCAAACUCCAAAUCAACAAUUGAAUAACGCAAAAAUUAUGCACUACAUUUUUCACAAAAUGCUCCACAAACACAUGAGAAAAUAUUUUUUAUUGAUGAAUCUGGUUU